ACGCUCGACACCUACGGGGGACAGCAGUAGGGAAUCUUCCACAAUGGGCGCAAGCCUGAUGGAGCAACACCGCGUGAGUGAAGAAGGGUUUCGGCUCGUAAAGCUCUGUUGUUGGAGAAGAACGUGCGUGAGAGUAACUGUUCACGCAGUGACGGUAUCCAACCAGAAAGUCACGGCUAACUACGUGCCUGCAGCCGCGGUAAUCUGAGCGGGCUGGCAAGGC
rnacentral:rRNA from 1 species